UCUACGGGGUGCUGCAGUGGGGAAUAUUGGACAAUGGGCGAAAGCCUGAUCCAGCCAUGCCGCGUGUGUGAAGAAGGCCUUCGGGUUGUAAAGCACUUUCAGUGGGGAAGAAAGCCUUGGGGCUAAUACCCUCGAGGAAGGACAUCACCCACAGAAGAAGCACCGGCUAACUCCGUGCCAGCAGCCGCGGUAAUACGGAGGGUGCGAGCGUUAAUCGGAAUUACUGGGCGUAAAGCGCGCGUAGGCGGUCUGAUAAGCCGGUUGUGAAAGCCCCGGGCUCAACCUGGGAACGGCAUCCGGAACUGUCAGGCUAGAGUGCAGGAGAGGAAGGUAGAAUUCCCGGUGUAGCGGUGAAAUGCGUAGAGAUCGGGAGGAAUACCAGUGGCGAAGGCGGCCUUCUGGACUGACACUGACGCUGAGGUGCGAAAGCGUGGGUAGCAAACAGGAUUAGAUACCCCGGUAGUC
rnacentral:rRNA from 1 species